AUCACUUCUCAGCGUUUUAGCUAAGAGCAAGUGUAGUAUCUGUUCUUAUCAGUUUAAUAUCUGAUACAUCCUCUAUCUGAGGACAUUAUAUUAAACGGAUUUUUAGAGCUGGGAUGUGGAAUAGGAGCUUGCUCAGUCCACUCCACACUUUGAUCCAAUAUAGCAGUACUUCUGGGAAGGGUGCACUAGGA